GAGUUUGAUCCUGGCUCAGGAUGAACGCUGGCGGCGUGCUUAACACAUGCAAGUCGAACGGGGGUUACUUCGUUGAGAUCUUCGGAUCAAAGCGAAAUAACUCGAGUGGCGGACGGGUGAGUAACACGUGAGUAACCUGCCUUUUGCUGGGGAAUAACUGUGGGAAACCAUGGCUAAUACCGCAUGUUGUGCAUGACAGGCAUCUGUUGUGUAUGAAAGGAGAAAUCCGGCAGAAGAUGGGCUCGCGUCCGAUUAGGUAGUUGGUGGGGUAACGGCCUACCAAGCCCGCGAUCGGUAGCCGGACUGAGAGGUCGAACGGCCACAUUGGGACUGAGAUACGGUCCAGACUCCUACGGGAGGCAGCAGUGGGGAAUAUUGGGCAAUGGGCGGAAGCCUGACCCAGCGACGCCGCGUGAGGGAAGAAGGCCUUUGGGUCGUAAACCUCUGUUGUAUGGGAAGAAGGAAGUGACGGUACCAUACGAGGAAGUCCCGGCUAACUACGUGCCAGCAGCCGCGGUAAUACGUAGGGGACGAGCGUUGUCCGGAAUUACUGGGCGUAAAGGGCGCGCAGGCGGAUAUUUAAGUCAGCUGUUAAAGUCAUGGGCUCAACUCAUGGAUGCGGUUGAAACUGGGUAUCUAGAGUGCUGGAGAGGUAGGCGGAAUUCCCGGUGUAGCGGUGAAAUGCGUAGAUAUCGGGAAGAACACCAGUGGGGAAAGCGGCUUACUGGCCAGCAACUGACGCUGAGGCGCGAAAUCCAGGGGAGCGAACGGGAUUAGAUACCCCGGUAGUCCUGGCCGUAAACGAUGAAUGCUAGGUGUGGGUGUCGAGAGGCAUCCGUGCCGGAGUUAACGCGAUAAGCAUUCCGCCUGGGGAGUACGGUCGCAAGAUUGAAACUCAAAGGAAUUGACGGGGGCCCGCACAAGCGGUGGAGCAUGUGGUUUAAUUCGAUGCAAACCGAAGAACCUUACCUAGGUUUGACAUGUACGUGGUACGGAUCUGAAAGGUGAAGGACUGUACCUUCGGGUACAGAGCGUACACAGGUGCUGCAUGGCCGUCGUCAGCUCGUGUCGUGAGAUGUUGGGUUAAGUCCGGCAACGAGCGCAACCCCUGUGGCCAGUUGCCAUCAUUCAGUUGGGCACUCUGGCAAGACCGCCGUUAACAAAACGGAGGAAGGUGGGGAUGACGUCAAAUCAUCAUGCCCCUUAUGUCCUGGGCUUCACACGUACUACAAUGGCAGCAACAGAGGGCAGCCACACCGCGAGGUGGAGCGAAUCCCAAAAUGCUGUCUCAGUUCGGAUUGCAGGCUGAAACUCGCGUGCAUGAAGCAGGAAUUGCUAGUAAUGGCAGGUCAGCAUACUGCCGUGAAUACGUUCCCGGGCCUUGUACACACCGCCCGUCACACCAUGAGAGUUUGUAACACCCGAAGUCAGUAGUCUAACCCAGCAAUGGGGGGGCGCUGCCGAAGGUGGGACAGAUGAUUGGGGUGAAGUCGUAACAAGGUAGCCG
rnacentral:rRNA from 1 species